rnacentral:lncRNA from 1 species
GGCAAGUUGCCUGCCGGCGCCCAGCAGUGGUGGGACACCUCCAUUCCCAUGUUGGUCAGAUGUUAGCGUGGGACCCUCUAUAGCUGUCCAGGUUCCCAUCUGUGGCUCAUGGAGCCUUGAAUGUGACCAGGGGCUUGGAAUGUUCCUCAGGCCUCAGCCACCACCCUGGGAGCCUCCAAAGCCCAGCCCCCAUUCCUGUAGUAGCUUGGCCAGCCCCUCACAAGACUGGGAAUGUUCUAGACCCACAAGCAUAGCCUCAACCUCACUCCUUCCUCUCCUGCCCUGGCUAGCCCCAGCCUUCCUCUUGCUGAGCCAGAAUCCAGUCCUGACAAACUGAGGUGAUGGUAGCUCCCUAGGCUUCCUGGGUCAAGGGUUUCUGAGGUCAGCCAUCCACCACUGCUGCCUGAAGACAGC